AUUGAACGCUGGCGGCAUGCCUUACACAUGCAAGUCGAACGGUAACGCGGGGGCAACCCUGGCGACGAGUGGCGAACGGGUGAGUAGCGCAUCGGAACGUGCCCAGUAGUGGGGGAUAGCUCGGCGAAAGCCGGAUUAAUACCGCAUACGACCUACGGGUGAAAGCGGGGGACCGCAAGGCCUCGCGCUAUUGGAGCGGCCGAUGUCUGAUUAGCUAGUUGGCGGGGUAAGAGCCCACCAAGGCGACGAUCAGUAGCUGGUCUGAGAGGACGACCAGCCACACUGGGACUGAGACACGGCCCAGACUCCUACGGGAGGCAGCAGUGGGGAAUUUUGGACAAUGGGCGCAAGCCUGAUCCAGCCAUGCCGCGUGCGGGAAGAAGGCCUUCGGGUUGUAAACCGCUUUUGGCAGGAACGAAACGGCGCAAGCCAAUACCUUGCGCUAAUGACGGUACCUGCAGAAUAAGCACCGGCUAACUACGUGCCAGCCGCCGCCGUAACAC
rnacentral:rRNA from 1 species